AUCAUCUACCCGGCCUCCCCGACGAGCUGGAGCUCGAACGCUCAUCACAUCUCCGCAAGAG
rnacentral:tRNA from 1 species